rnacentral:rRNA from 1 species
UCGUUCUCCCCGAAAUAGCUUUAGGGCUAGCGUCGCGCGUUCACCGCCGGAGGUAGAGCACCGGAUGGACGAGGGGGCUUCGCCGCCUACCGAAUCCAACCGAACUCCGAAUGCCGGCGGCCCAGAGCGCGGCAGUCAGAGCAUGUGGGCUAAGCUGUGUGCUCGAGAGGGAAACAGCCCGGACCGCCCGCUAAGGUCCCCAAGUUCCAGCCGAGUGGCAAAGGAUGUGCGUCCGCCCAGACAACCAGGAUGUUGGCUUAGAAGCAGCCAUCCAUUCAAAGAGUGCGUAACAGCUCACUGGUCGAGUGGACAUGCGCCGACAAUACACGGGGCUAAGCUGGACACCGAAGCGGCGGGAUUUUAAUUCAUUAGAAUCGGUAGGGGAGCUUCCCAUGGGCGGAGAAGCCGGAGGGCGACCGACGGUGGAGCGCAUGGGAGUGAGAAUGCUGGCAUGAGUAGCGAGAGACGAGAGAGUAACUCGUCCGCCGUGAACCCGAGGUUUCCUGGGCAAGGCUAAUCCUCCCAGGGUCAGUCGGGGGCUAAGGCGAGGCCGGGAGGCGUAGCCGACGCGCAGCAGGCAGACAUUCCUGCACCGCGCACGCGGCGCUACGACCGACGGGGCGACGGAUGGGGGUGGCUCGGCGGGGUUCUGGACGUCCCCGUGAUGGAGCGCGGCCCGCGGACCAGGGAAAUCCGGUCCGCAGAAGGGCGAGGCUCCGGACGAAGCACUUAAGCGAAGCGAGUGAGCCCGAGGUCCCUAGAAAAACCCCUAGGCAGGCGCGUGCGCGCCCGUACCGCAAACCGACACAGGUGGGUGGGUAGAACAUACCGAGGCGAUCGGGUCAACCAUGGUCAAGGAACUCGGCACAAUGGCCCCGUAACUUCGGGAGAAGGGGUGCCCGCGCGUACGUGAACCGGCUCGCCCGGGGAGCGGAGGCGGGCCGCAGUGGAGAGGCCCAAGCGACUGUUUACCAAAAACACAGGACUCUGCAGAAGCCGCAAGGCGACGUAUAGGGUCUGACGCCUGCCCGGUGCCGGAAGGUCACGCGGAGGGGUUAGCCGCAAGCGCGAAGCCCCGAAGCCAAGCCCCGGUAAACGGCGGCCGUAACUAUAACGGUCCUAAGGUAGCGAAAUUCCUUGUCGGGUAAGUUCCGACCUGCACGAAAGGCGCAACGACUUGGGCGCUGUCUCGACCAUGGACCCGGUGAAAUUGCACUGGUCGUGAAGAUGCGACUUACCCGCGGAAGGACGGAAAGACCCCGUGAACCUUCACUGCAGCUUGGCAUUGGCCGCUGGUCCCGCGUGUAGAGGAUAGGCAGGAGGCAUCGAUCCGGAGGCGCCAGCCCCCGGGGAGCCGCCCUUGGAAUACUGCCCUCGCGCGACCGGCGUCCUAACCCGAGGCCGUCAACCGGCUCGGGGACCGUGCCAGGCGGGCAGUUUGACUGGGGCGGUCGCCUCCUAAAGGGUAACGGAGGCGCGCGAAGGUCCGCUCGGGACGGUCGGCAACCGUCCUUUUGAAUGCAAGAGUACAAGCGGGCUUGACUGCGAGGCCCACAAGCCGAGCAGGUGCGAAAGCAGGCUCUAGUGAUCCGGCGGCCCCGAGUGGGUGGGCCGUCGCUCAACGGAUAAAAGGUACUCCGGGGAUAACAGGCUGAUCUUGCCCAAGAGUCCACAUCGACGGCAAGGUUUGGCACCUCGAUGUCGGCUCAUCGCAUCCUGGGGCUGGAGCAGGUCCCAAGGGUACGGCUGUUCGCCGUUUAAAGCGGUACGCGAGCUGGGUUCAGAACGUCGUGAGACAGUUCGGUCCCUAUCCUCCGUGGGCGCAGGAGAAUCGAUGGAGGCUGCCCCCAGUACGAGAGGACCGGGGUGGACGCACCUCCGGUGAACCGGUUGUCGACCAACGGCACGGCCGGGUAGCCGCGUGCGGCGCGGAUAACCGCUGAAGGCAUCUAAGCGGGAAGCCGUUCCAGGGAUUAGUUCU